rnacentral:lncRNA from 10 species
GAUGCAGAGAAGUCUCAGUGUUCUCGUAUUAGAGAAAGAAGAUUAGGAAGGGUAGGAGCUCAAACGGUGCAGAAUGGGAAGAGCUUCAUGCUGCUAUCAUCAAAUGAGCACCUGGCCAGAAAAUCAGAGUCUGAACUCCACCAUCUAGUAGCCUAAAGACUGGGGUUUGUCACUUUACCUGUGAGCUUCCGUGUCCUCAUCCUCAACAUGAAGAUGAAGAUAACAACACUGAACUUGGAGUGUGGUUGUGAAGCUCGAAUGAUAUCAUGGAAAUGAAAAUGACCUGUGCAUAUAAAUGUAUAAAUAAAAUCAGUAUUUAAAAAGUAAAUUAAGAA